AGGCGAUGAAAGACGUAGUAACUUGCGAUAAGCCCAGAUUAGGUAGUAACAACCAUUUGAGUCUGGGAUUUCUGAAUGGGGAAACCCACUUACAUAAGUAAGUAUCCUUACCUGAAUACAUAGGGUAAGGAGGCGAACCGGGGGAACUGAAACAUCUAAGUACCCCGAGGAAAAGAAAUCAACCGAGAUUCCGAAAGUAGCGGCGAGCGAAAUUGGACUAGCCCUUAAGCUUUACACGCGUUAGACGAACGGUCUGGAAAGUCCGACGAUACAGGGUGAUAG
rnacentral:rRNA from 1 species